AUAGUCCGCUAUUCUGCAGUGAUUUUCUUCCAAUCCAGUAUCAUUUGUACGUUGCAGCAUCAUCGAACACUAUGACCCAUGAAUCAGAAGAUAACGUAGAUGCUACGAGAGAGCUCAUUUCACAAUGGACAACAGAAGUGUUACGUGACUUUCUACAAGGAGGGGACUCAAGCUUGGAAAUCGAGUACCGUCAGCCAUCCGAGGUAGAGAUAAACUGGACGAUGGAUGGAGAGGGGGCGGGGGGGGGGGGGGG